rnacentral:rRNA from 1 species
UACCAGCACCCCGAGUGGUCGGGACGUUUAUUGGGCCUAAAGCAUCCGUAGCCGGUUCUGCAAGUCUUCCGUUAAAUCCACCUGCUUAACAGAUGGGCCGCGGAAGAUACUAUAGAGCUAGGAGGCGGGAGAGGCAAGCGGUACUCGAUGGGUAGGGGUAAAAUCCGUUGAUCCAUUGAAGACCACCAGUGGCGAAGGCGGCUUGCCAGAACGCGCUCGACGGUGAGGGAUGAAAGCUGGGGGA